GGGGGGAUUUUGCACAAUGGGCGGAAGCCUGAUGCAGCGACGCCGCGUGAGGGAGGAAGGGUUUCGGCCUGUAAACCUCUUUUGACGGGGAAGAUAAUGACGGUACCUGUCGAAUAAGCCCCGGCUAACUACGUGCCAGCAGCCGCGGUAAUACGUAGGGGGCGAGCGUUGUCCGGAUUUACUGGGCGUAAAGAGCGCGUAGGCGGCUUGUUAAGUUGGCUGUGAAAGUCCCUGGCCUAACUGGGGAAAGUCGGCCGAGACUGGCAGGCUUGAGAGCGGUAGAGGAAGGUGGAAUUCCGGGUGUAGUGGUGAAAUGCGUAGAUAUCCGGAGGAACACCGGUGGCGAAGGCGGCCUUCUGGGCCGUUUCUGACGCUGAGGCGCGAAAGCGUGGGUAGCGAACUGA
rnacentral:rRNA from 1 species